rnacentral:rRNA from 1 species
GACGUAGGGUGCAAGCGUUGUCCGGAUUUACUGGGUUUAAAGGGUGUGUAGGCGGACAUUUAAGUCAGGGGUGAAAUCCCGAGGCUCAACCUCGGAACUGCCUUUGAUACUAUUUGUCUUGAAUGUUGUUGAGGUGGGCGGAACGGGUCAUGUAGCGGUGAAAUGCAUAGAUAUGACCCGGAACACCGAUUGCGAAGGCAGCCCGCUAAGCAACUAUUGACGCUGAGGCACGAAAGCGUGGGGAUCAAACAGG